rnacentral:rRNA from 1 species
UACGUAGGGUCCGAGCGUUGUCCGGAGUUACUGGGCGUAAAGCGCGCGCAGGCGGCGGUGUAAGCAUGGCGUGAAAGCCCCCCCGCUCAACGGGGGGAGGGUCCGUCGAGAUGGGCCGACUGGAGGCAGGGAGAGGGCGGUGGAAUUCCGGGUGUAGUGGUGAAAUGCGUAGAUAUCAGGAGGAACACCUGAGGUGAAGACGGGUUGCUGGGCUGACACUGACGCUGAGGCGCGAAAGCCAGGGGAGCAAACGGG